rnacentral:rRNA from 1 species
UGAGUACGAGAUGCUACGGCAUCGAAGCAGUCUAUGUCAUACUUCCAAGAAAAGCUUGCACUGUCAUAAACAAAGAAUGCCUGUACCAUAACCGACACAGGUGGGUAGGUAGAGUAUACUAAGGGGCGCGAGAUAACUCUCUCUAAGGAACUCGGCAAAAUGACUCCGUAACUUCGGGAGAAGGAGUGCCUUAUUUCUAAGGUUGCAAUAACAAGAUCCAAGCAACUGUUUACCAAAAACACAGGUCUCCGCUAAGUCGUAAGACGAUGUAUGGGGGCUGACGCCUGCCCAGUGCCAGAAGGUUAAAGAGGUUGGUUAGCAUUAGCGAAGCUGAUAACUGAAGCCCUGGUGAACGGCGGCCGUAACGAUAACGGUCCUAAGGUAGCGAAAUUCCUUGUCGGGUAAGUUCCGACCCGCACGAAAGGCGUAAUGAUUUGGAUACUGUCUCGGAGAGGGGCUCGGUGAAAUAGACUUGUCUGUGAAGAUGCGGACUACCUGCACCUGGACAGAAAGACCCUAUGAAGCUUUACUGUAACUUGAGAUUGAAAUUGGACUUUAUUUGCGCAGUAUAGGUGGGAGGCGUUGAGAAUAAUCUUGCGGGAUUGUUGGAGCCAUCAGUGAGAUACCACUCUUGUAAUGUUAGAUUUCUAACUUUGUAUCAUUAUCUGGUCAAAGAACAGUUUCAGGCGGGCAGUUUGACUGGGGCGGUCGCCUCCCAAAGGGUAACGGAGGCGCACAAAGGUUUCCUCUGAACGGGUAGAAAUCGUAUCUAGAGUGUAAAGGCAUAAGGAAGCUUGACUGUGAGACCUACAAGUCGAGCAGGGACGAAAGUCGGUCUUAGUGAUCUGACGGUGCUGAGUGGAAAGGCCGUCACUCAACGGAUAAAAGUUACUCUAAGGAUAACAGGCUGAUCUCCCCCAGAGUUCACAUCGACGGGGAGGUUUGGCACCUCGAUGUCGGCUCAUCGCAUCCUGGGGCGGUAGUCCGUCCCAAGGGUUGGGCUGUUCGCCCAUGAAAGCGGUACGCGAGCUGGGUUCAGAACGUCGUGAGACAGUUCGGUCCAUAUCCGGUGUAGGCGUUAGAAUAUUGAGAGGAGCCUUCUCUAGUACGAGAGGACCGAGAAGGACAUACCUCUGGUGUACCAGUUAUCGUGCCAACGGUAAACGCUGGGUAGCUAUGUAUGGAGUGGAUAACCGCUGAAAGCAUCUAAGCGGGAAGCCCACCUCAAGAUAAGUAUUCUCAU